GACACCGGAGUGCGCCUGCGCUUGCUGGGGGUGGGUCCUAGAGUGCUGGGUGGGGCCCCUGUGUGCUCUGCGCUUCUCCCGCGCUUUUCCAGAAAAAGUGUGCAUUUCGAUGGUUCGGAGCGGGCCUACUCGGAUUUGCUAUUGAGGUCCCCAUUUAAGGGUUUUACCGGCCCUGGCACUCAUUCCUACGUCAACAAAAAUGUAAGCGCAACGGAACAGUAAACAGCUUGCACCUGACAAAGAGAGUGCGUACUCUACUUUCCCUAGGACAACAAGGGUACUACUGUUGAACUUCAACCACUCUGGGUGAUGCCAAGGAUACAUUUUGCUACAACAGUAAUUAUGCUUCUGGACCCUCGCCUGGUAAAAUGGAAAGCAUGUAAAAUGUAUGAAAUAGAGCUAGCUCUCCCGCCCUCAGUGUUAGCUGGACACAUGCAGCAGUAUGGCUUGACUUCCAGAAAGGGAUGAAAACCGAGAAUGAGGAAGUUGUCCAAUGGGAACAGAACAUUGCUUUCGCAGAGAAAAUAAAAAGAAACUCGGCUGUCUGCUCGUCUUCCCCCAUGUUCAGCCCUCCUUUCCAAUAGAGAGACUGGAAGAAAUGAGGAACUCUGUCUAUUGCUCCCAGAACUGAUGCACUGAUGAAAAGCAGGCCAAAUUCCUAGCAUAUUGUGGAUCAACACCUCUGGAUUCUGUUUUUCCUCUUCAAUCAUUGAACAUGUAUGUAUUCAGCGUUUAUAUGAUAUGCUACUUCUGGUGCUGAGAACACAGCAGCAUGGACAGAAGAGCUCAUUGUUUUCAUGAACUUUUUCUUCCCAGAUUUACUCAGCUAUGUUGACAACUAAAAGUUGUAUACAUUUAGGAUGUACAGUAUGAUGUUUUGAGAUCUAUAUAUGUAAGUGAU